rnacentral:rRNA from 1 species
UACGGAGGGGGCUAGCGUUAUUCGGAAUUACUGGGCGUAAAGCGCACGUAGGCGGGCUGGAAAGUCAGAGGUGAAAUCCCAGGGCUCAACCUUGGAACUGCCUUUGAAACUUCCAGUCUUGAGGUCGAGAGAGGUGAGUGGAAUUCCGAGUGUAGAGGUGAAAUUCGUAGAUAUUCGGAGGAACACCAGUGGCGAAGGCGGCUCACUGGCUCGAUACUGACGCUGAGGUGCGAAAGCGUGGGGAGCAAAUGGG